rnacentral:rRNA from 1 species
CUCUUCUUGAAUAUAUUUUGAUGUAUGGCCUGCCCACUGAAUAUUGAAGGGCCGCGGUAUUUUGACCGUGCAAAGGUAGCAUAAUCAUUAGUCUUUUAAUUGUAGGCUGGAAUGAAUGGUUUGACGAGGUGUUAACUGUCUUUAAUUUUUUUUGUUGAAUUUAAAUUUUAGGUUAAAAUGCCUAAAUAUUUUUUUGGGACGAGAAGACCCUAUAGAGUUUUAUAUAUUUUUAUUUUUUUGUAUGAUAAUUUUUAAUGUAAAAAUUUAUUUUGUUGGGGUGAUGAGAAGAUUAAAUUAACUCUUUUUGUUUUUUUAUAUUUAUUUAUAUUUAUUUGAUCCAUUUUUAUUGAUUGUAAGACUAAAUUACC